rnacentral:rRNA from 1 species
CCUACGGGAGGCAGCAGUGAGGAAUAUUUGACAAUGGACGCAAGUCUGAACCAGCCAUGCCGCGUGCAGGAAGACGGCUCUAUGAGUUGUAAACUGCUUUUGUACGAGGGUAAAUCCCGAUACGAGUAUCGGGUUGAAAGUAUCGUACGAAUAAGGAUCGGCUAACUCCGUUCCAGCAGCCGCGGGAAUACGGAGGAGUCAAGAGUUAUCCGGAUGUAUUGGGUAUAAAGGGUGCGUAGGCGGUUCGAUAAGUUAGAGGUGAAAUCCCGGGGCUCAACUCCGGCACGGCAUCUGAUACUGGCGGGCUAGAGUAUAGUUGCGGUAGGCGGAAUGUAUGGUGUAGCGGUGAAAUGCAUAGAGAUCGUACAGAACACCGAUUGCGAAGGCAGCUUACCAAACUACGACUGACGUUGAGGCACGAAAGCGUGGGGAGCAAACAGGAUUAGAUACCCGGGUAGUC